CUCGAAAUAAAACGAGCGAGAGAAAACAAAUAUUCCCAUUUUAUAGUGAUUUAAAAGUUUCUUUAGUGAUGAAAUGUCAGUCGUGUUUUAUUAUAUCUAGUUUCUUUUAAAAUAAAUUUAAUUUAGUAUUUAUUUAAAAAUAAAUAAAUAUAAAGAACAGGAAGGUAGAGCUUCUUGUUAUAUUUUAGCAUAAAAUUUAAACUAUGUAGAAAUAUUAAGCUUAAAAGUAGCUAAAUUUAAAAAGUGUUAUAACUAUAGUUACCUUUAUUAUUAUUUUUAUAUUUUUGCUAUUUUAAAAAGAUAUUUAAAAAAAUAAUUAUUUGAAGUAAUAAUGAUUUUAUCAGUAAAUAAAUUUAUAAAAUUUUAUAAUAAAAUAAGUUUCUAGGAAUUUAGAAAUUAAUUAACUAUUAAGGAACUCGGCAAAUCUAGUUUUUGCCUGUUUAUCAAAAACAUGUCUGGUUGAAUAUAAGAUCAGUCUAACCUGCCCACUGAGAUAUUAAAGGGCCGCGGUAAUUUGACCGUGCGAAGGUAGCAUAAUCACUAGUCUUUUAAUUGAAGACCUGUAUGAACGGUUGGACAAAAAAUUAACUGUCUUAAUAGUUUACAUUGAAGUUAACCUUUAAGUGAAGAGGCUUAAAUAAUUCUUAAAGACGAUAAGACCCUAUAAAACUUUACAUAUAUUUGACUAAAAUUUUAAUUAUUUGUUAAUGAUUUUUUUUUAAUUUGUGUUUCAUUGGGGAGAUGAAAGUAUAAAACUAGCUGCUUAAUUUUUAAUACAAAAUAUUUGAGAUUUAAUUGAUCCUUAAUAAAGAUAAAAGAAAAGUUACUUUAGGGAUAACAGCGUUAUUUUUUUUGAGAGUCCUUAUCGACAAAAAAGUUUGCGACCUCGAUGUUGAAUUAAAAUUUCUCUAUAAUGUAGCAGUUAUAAAAGUAAGUCUGUUCGACUUUUAAAAUUUUACAUGAUUUGAGUUCAAACCGGUGUAAGCCAGGUUGGUUUCUAUCUUAAGAAAAAAGAAGCAAUCUUAGUACGAAAGGAUUGGAUAGC
rnacentral:rRNA from 1 species